rnacentral:rRNA from 1 species
GACGAACGCUGGCGGCGUGCUUAACACAUGCAAGUCGAACGGAAAGGCCUGCUUUCCCUUGUGGAUUGCGGGUACUCGAGUGGCGAACGGGUGAGUAACACGUGAGUGAUCUGCCCCCAACUUGGGUAUAAGCCUGGGAAACUGGGUCUAAUUCCCGAUAGGACUGCAGGGUGGUGCCUGUGGUGGAAAACGAUUUUCUAGUGGUUGGGGAUGAGCUCGCGGCCUAUCAGCUUGUUGGUGGGGUAAUGGCCUACCAAGGCGGCGACGGGUAGCCGGCCUGGGAGGGUGGACGGCCACAUUGGGACUGAGAUACGGCCCAGACUCCUACGGGAGGCAGCAGUGGGGAAUAUUGCACAAUGGGCGGAAGCCUGAUGCAGCGACGCCGCGUGGGGGAUGACGGCCUUCGGGUUGUAAACUCCUUUCGACCGCGAGGAAGCCACCUGGUUGGAAGGGUGGUGACGGUAGUGGUAGAAGAGGCACCGGCUAACUACGUG